GGGUGCAAUCAUACCAGCACAAAUGCACCGGAUCUCAUUAGCACUCCGCAAUUUAGCGUGCUUGGGCGAGAGUAGUACUAGGAUGGGUGACCUUCUAGGAAGUCCUCGUGUUGCACCCC
rnacentral:rRNA from 1 species